rnacentral:rRNA from 1 species
UACGUAGGGGGCGAGCGUUGUCCGGAUUUAUUGGGCGUAAAGAGCUCGUAGGCGGUUUCGUAAGUCGGAUGUGAAAACUCCAGGCUCAACUUGGAGACGCCAUUCGAUACUGCGAUGACUUGAGUCCGGUAGGGGAGUGUGGAAUUCCUGGUGUAGCGGUGAAAUGCGCAGAUAUCAGGAGGAACACCGGCGGCGAAGGCGGCACUCUGGGCCGGUACUGACGCUGAGGAGCGAAAGCGUGGGGAGCGAACAGG